GUGAACUAUGCUUGGCGAAGACGAAGCCCCAGGAAACUGUGGUGGAAGUCUGUAGCCGUUUUGACGUGCAAAUCAAUGGUGUCAGCUGAGCAUAGGGGCGAAAGACCAAUCGAACUAUCUAGUAGCUGGUUCCAUUCGAAGUUUCUCUCAGGAUAGCUUGCGUGACAUUAACGCUAUGAGUCUGGACUCUUCGGUACACGAAAGCGUGCUGGUAGUCCGUCCCACUUUGUCUGCAGUUGUUGAGAGUUGACGUAGCCAAGAACUUUGUCAUCUCACUCUCUAGUCGCCAGGGUAGCGUAUCAUUUGACCGUGAGCAGUUACGUCUGGUAAAGAGAAUGAGUAGAGUUAGCUCGUUGCUUUCUAUAGCAACAGCAGCGGGGCGUCCUACGCCUCGCACUAUUAUCAAACUUUAAAUAGGCGAGGUACCCGGUAUUUUCUUAAUUGCUUGAUACCGGGGCGAAACACGUCUUGGCUUUACCGUCGAGGCGAAGGUGAAUGCGUGCGCGCAAAGUGGGUCCUUUCUGGUAAGCAGAACUGAUAAUGAGGGAUGAACCUAACGCAUGUGCUAAGGGGCCAAAGAGACAGCUAUUUCUCGAAACCAUUGGAAAGGUGUUGCUUGCUGAAGACAGCAGGACGGUGGUCAUGGAAGUCGAUAUCCGCUAAGGAGUGUGUAACUACUCAUCCUGCCGAAGCGAGUAACCCUGAAAAUGGAUGGCUCUAUAGCUCUCUCCCGAUGCACGGCCGUCAGUAGCACUUGAGUCACCUCGUGUCUCUACGCUCUGACGAGUAGAAUGGUUGUGCUGCAUUGCGUUGACGGCUAUCGCGUGAGCGGUGUUUGAGCGUGCACCAGUACAGAUCUUGGUGGUAGUAGCAAGUACUCUGGUGAAUAACCUUGAGCUGUGAGGUUGAUAAGGGUUCCAUGUCAACAGUGUUUGUACAUGGGUAAGUCGGUCCUAAGCCCCCAUUAUUCUUAAUGGUGAUUGCGAUCGCCCGAGAGUUAUGGUGUCUGUAGUGGAGUCAGAGUGGGAGCCCGCGCUCUCUCUUUGGAUCUGCGUCGUGUCUGUCGCAUACCUUUUCUGCGUGAACAGGGGCACAGGUGUGUUGUUGUACUCGGGGAGAGGUGAAUGUGUGUGUGAACGGUAGCGUUUUUCUCUUUGAGAAGUGGCCGCUGUGACCUAGUAACACACAUCGUUCGUAAUCUCACUGAAAUACGAUGCUAUCGAUGCUCUCUUAAUAGUGCAUGGGGUUUGCGCGUGAUACGUUAAGACUCUACACUUUCGCGUCGCUCGGCGAAAGGGAAUUGCGGACUCAGUUCGUAAACCACACCUGGUACCCUGAGACGGUUCACCGUUUCACGGACCUGGCAAGAGCUUGCCAGGCCAGUCGCUGUCAUAAGUAGCUCGGCGGGGAGAUUUCUUCUCUCUUUGAUAUAGAUACGUGUCCUGAAAGCACCUCGAGUGGCGGAAGGUCAACGCUAUCUAGCAGAGUACUCUACUCCCUCGAGUAGAUAACGAUGCUGCUUGUGAUCCGUGAAAAGGUGGUCGAGGGGAAAGUAUGGGACAAUAAGCACCCACAAUGCUACAAAAGCAAACGAGAACAAGACUGUGUGUGUGUGUAAGCCCGCGCUUACUCCCACACGACUUGUGUUUUUGUGCGCCGCGUAUCUGUGUUGUGU
rnacentral:rRNA from 1 species